GUUAUAUGGUCAAGCGGUUAAGCGCAUACGGUGGAUGCCUAGGCGGUAGGAGGCGAUGAAGGACGUUGUAGCCUGCGAUAAGCCUCGGGGAGCUGGCAAACAAGCUUUGAUCCGGGGAUUUCCGAAUGGGGAAACCCACCCGUCACAAGACGGGUAUCGCACACUGAAUCCAUAGGUGUGCGAGGCGAACCCGGGGAACUGAAACAUCUAAGUACCCGGAGGAAAAGAAAUCAACCGAGAUUCCCUCAGUAGUGGCGAGCGAACGGGGAACAGCCCUUAAGCUCUUUAGGUUCUAGUGGAACAGUCUGGAAAGUCUGGCCAUAGCGGGUGAUAGCCCCGUACACGAAAGGGCCUAUUGAGUGAAAUCGAGUAGGGCGGGACACGUGUUAUCCUGUCUGAAUAUGGGGGGACCAUCCUCCAAGGCUAAAUACUACCUACCGACCGAUAGUGAACCAGUACCGUGAGGGAAAGGCGAAAAGAACCCCGGAGAGGGGAGUGAAAUAGAACCUGAAACCGUAUGCGUACAAGCAGUGGGAGCCCGAAAGGGUGACCGCGUACCUUUUGUAUAAUGGGUCAGCGACUUACUUUCAGUGGCAAGGUUAACCGAAUAGGGAAGCCGUAGGGAAACCGAGUCUUAACAGGGCGCUCAGUCGCUGGAAGUAGACCCGAAGCCGGGCGAUCUACCCAUGGCCAGUGUGAAGGCGAGGUAAUACUCGCUGGAGGCGCGAACCCACUGACGUUGAAAAGUCAGGGGAUGAGCUGUGGGUCGGAGUGAAAGGCUAAACAAGCCCGGAGAUAGCUGGUUCUCCCCGAAAGCUAUUUAGGUAGCGCCUCGUGUCUCACUCCCGGGGGUAGAGCACUGUUUCGGCUAGGGGGCUCCCAGGAGCUUACCAAACCGAUGCAAACUCCGAAUACCGGGAAGUGCAAUCACGGGAGACAGACGGCGGGUGAUAAGGUUCGUCGUCAAAAGGGAAACAGCCCAGACCGCCAGCUAAGGUCCCCAAAUCAUGGCUAAGUGGUGAACGAUGUGGGAAGGCACAGACAGCCAGGAGGUUGGCUUAGAAGCAGCCAUCCUUUAAAGAAAGCGUAAUAGCUCACUGGUCGAGUCGGCCUGCGCGGAAGAUUUAACGGGGCUCAAGCCAUGUACCGAAGCUGCGGACGCAAGCUUGCUUGCGUGGUAGGGGAGCGUUCUGUACGCCUGCGAAGGAAGACCCGUGAGGGCUUCUGGAGGUAUCAGAAGUGCGAAUGCUGACAUGAGUAACGAUAAUGCGGGUGAAAAACCCGCACGCCGAAAGCCCAAGGUUUCCUGCGCAACGCUAUUCGGCGCAGGGUUAGUCGGCCCCUAAGGCGAGGGCGAAAGCCGUAGUCGAUGGGAAACAGGUUAAUAUUCCUGUACCUCCUGCUACUGCGAUGAGGGGACGAAGAAGGCUAGGUCAUCCGGGUGUUGGUUGUCCCGGUUCAAGCGAGUAGGCAGUCGCUCCAGGCAAAUCCGGAGCGGCAAUGCCGAGACGUGAUGACGAGCUCCCACGGGAGCGAAGUGAUUAAUGCCAUGCUUCCUAGAAAAGCCUCUAAGCUUCAGGUAGUAGGGGACCGUACCCCAAACCGACACAGGUGGGCAGGGUGAGAAUCCCAAGGCGCCUGAGAGAACUCGGGUGAAGGAACUAGGCAAAAUGGUACCGUAACUUCGGGAGAAGGUACGCCUCUAGUAAGUGAAGGUCUUCGCGACCGGAGCUGAGGGAGGCCGCAGUGACCAGGGGGCUGCGACUGUUUACUAAAAACACAGCACUCUGCUAACGCGUAAGCGGAUGUAUAGGGUGUGACGCCUGCCCGGUGCCGGAAGGUUAAGUGAUGGGGUUAGCCCUCGGGCGAAGCUCUUGAUCGAAGCCCCGGUAAACGGCGGCCGUAACUAUAACGGUCCUAAGGUAGCGAAAUUCCUUGUCGGGUAAGUUCCGACCUGCACGAAUGGCGUAACGAUGGCCCCGCUGUCUCCACCCGAGACUCAGUGAAAUUGAAAUCGCUGUGAAGAUGCAGUGUACCCGCGGCAAGACGGAAAGACCCCGUGAACCUUUACUACAGCUUCACACUGGACUCCGAGUAUGCUUGUGCAGGAUAGGUGGGAGGCUUUGAAGCCGAGGCGCUAGCCUUGGUGGAGCCAUCCUUGAGAUACCACCCUUGCAUGCUUGGGGUUCUAACCUCGGCCCGUUAUCCGGGUCAGGGACAGUGUGUGGUGGGUAGUUUGACUGGGGCGGUCUCCUCCCAAAGAGUAACGGAGGAGUGCGAAGGUACCCUCGGCGCGGUCGGAAAUCGCGCUAUGAGUGUAAAGGCAUAAGGGUGCCUGACUGCGAGACCUACAAGUCGAGCAGGGGCGAAAGCCGGUCUUAGUGAUCCGGUGGUUCUGUAUGGAAGGGCCAUCGCUCAACGGAUAAAAGGUACUCCGGGGAUAACAGGCUGAUUCCUCCCAAGAGUCCACAUCGACGGAGGAGUUUGGCACCUCGAUGUCGGCUCAUCACAUCCUGGGGCUGUAGCAGGUCCCAAGGGUAUGGCUGUUCGCCAUUUAAAGUGGUACGCGAGCUGGGUUUAGAACGUCGUGAGACAGUUCGGUCCCUAUCUGCCGUGGGCGUCGGAGAUUUGAGAGGAUCUGCUCCUAGUACGAGAGGACCGGAGUGGACGCACCUCUGGUGUUCCGGUUGUCACGCCAGUGGCAUUGCCGGGUAGCUACGUGCGGAAGGGAUAACCGCUGAAAGCAUCUAAGCGGGAAGCCCACCUCAAGAUAAGAUCUCCCUGGACCCUUGAGGUCCCUGAAGGGCCGUCGAAGACGACGACGUUGAUAGGCUGGGUGUGGAAGUGCAGUAAUGCAUGAAGCUAACCAGUACUAAUUGCCCGUGAGGCUUGACCAUAUAACACCCAAGCAGU
rnacentral:rRNA from 1 species